rnacentral:lncRNA from 1 species
GGUGCGUGAGCUGAACCGGCAGCUGCGCGGGGUCAGCAAGGAGGAGGUGAUCCGACUGAAGCAGAAGAGGCGGACCCUGAAAAACCGCGGCUAUGCCCAGUCCUGCCGCUUCAAGAGGGUGCAGCAGAGACACGUCCUGGAGUCGGAGAAGAACCAGCUGCUGCAGCAGGUCGACCACCUCAAGCAGGAGAUCUCCAGGCUGGUGCGCGAAAGGGACGCCUACAAGGAGAAAUACGAGAAGUUGGUGAGCAGCGGGUUCCGAGAAAACGGCUCGAGCAGCGACAACCCUUCCUCUCCCGAAUUUUUCAUGUACCCAAGGGACUCUUCUACAUCUGUGAUGUGAGAAAAGCAGUUGCCCGAAGCUGAACAGAAAAUAUGAUGCCGGCAUGCUUAUCCCGUGAGAGAACUCGGCCCACAAAGCACAAAAACUAAACUCAAACUCAGAGAAGAAUCAAGAAGGGUGUUUUUCCUGGCGUCUACAAGAAGCGCUUUAUUUUUCCUCUAGAUUUCUUUUCUAAAAAAU